UUUAUGGAGAGUUUGAUCCUGGCUCAGGAUGAACGCUGGCGGCGUGCCUAAUACAUGCAAGUCGAGCGAACGGACGAGAAGCUUGCUUCUCUGAUGUUAGCGGCGGACGGGUGAGUAACACGUGGAUAACCUACCUAUAAGACUGGGAUAACUUCGGGAAACCGGAGCUAAUACCGGAUAAUAUUUUGAACCGCAUGGUUCAAAAGUAAAAGACGGUCUUGCUGUCACUUAUAGAUGGAUCCGCGCUGCAUUAGCUAGUUGGUAAGGUAACGGCUUACCAAGGCAACGAUGCAUAGCCGACCUGAGAGGGUGAUCGGCCACACUGGAACUGAGACACGGUCCAGACUCCUACGGGAGGCAGCAGUAGGGAAUCUUCCGCAAUGGGCGAAAGCCUGACGGAGCAACGCCGCGUGAGUGAUGAAGGUCUUCGGAUCGUAAAACUCUGUUAUUAGGGAAGAACAUAUGUGUAAGUAACUGUGCACAUCUUGACGGUACCUAAUCAGAAAGCCACGGCUAACUACGUGCCAGCAGCCGCGGUAAUACGUAGGUGGCAAGCGUUAUCCGGAAUUAUUGGGCGUAAAGCGCGCGUAGGCGGUUUUUUAAGUCUGAUGUGAAAGCCCACGGCUCAACCGUGGAGGGUCAUUGGAAACUGGAAAACUUGAGUGCAGAAGAGGAAAGUGGAAUUCCAUGUGUAGCGGUGAAAUGCGCAGAGAUAUGGAGGAACACCAGUGGCGAAGGCGACUUUCUGGUCUGUAACUGACGCUGAUGUGCGAAAGCGUGGGGAUCAAACAGGAUUAGAUACCCUGGUAGUCCACGCCGUAAACGAUGAGUGCUAAGUGUUAGGGGGUUUCCGCCCCUUAGUGCUGCAGCUAACGCAUUAAGCACUCCGCCUGGGGAGUACGACCGCAAGGUUGAAACUCAAAGGAAUUGACGGGGACCCGCACAAGCGGUGGAGCAUGUGGUUUAAUUCGAAGCAACGCGAAGAACCUUACCAAAUCUUGACAUCCUUUGACAACUCUAGAGAUAGAGCCUUCCCCUUCGGGGGACAAAGUGACAGGUGGUGCAUGGUUGUCGUCAGCUCGUGUCGUGAGAUGUUGGGUUAAGUCCCGCAACGAGCGCAACCCUUAAGCUUAGUUGCCAUCAUUAAGUUGGGCACUCUAAGUUGACUGCCGGUGACAAACCGGAGGAAGGUGGGGAUGACGUCAAAUCAUCAUGCCCCUUAUGAUUUGGGCUACACACGUGCUACAAUGGACAAUACAAAGGGCAGCGAAACCGCGAGGUCAAGCAAAUCCCAUAAAGUUGUUCUCAGUUCGGAUUGUAGUCUGCAACUCGACUACAUGAAGCUGGAAUCGCUAGUAAUCGUAGAUCAGCAUGCUACGGUGAAUACGUUCCCGGGUCUUGUACACACCGCCCGUCACACCACGAGAGUUUGUAACACCCGAAGCCGGUGGAGUAACCUUUUAGGAGCUAGCCGUCGAAGGUGGGACAAAUGAUUGGGGUGAAGUCGUAACAAGGUAGCCGUAUCGGAAGGUGCGGCUGGAUCACCUCCUUU
rnacentral:rRNA from 9 species